rnacentral:lncRNA from 1 species
AUUUGGAUAAAACUUCAGUGGCGAGUGCCCGGUCGCUGUCACGUAUUAGUUUUAUCUCCAUAAAAAAAUUCGUUGGGUGUUCAUUAUUAUUAUUAUUAGGAAAAACUUUAAAUAUCACUCCUGUGGUCUCACUUUAGUACCCUUUAGUUUUAACUUUCUCUUUCUAUUAUCCAUUUUUACUAAUUUAUUUCGUUAAAUCAGUGACAAAAUUAAAGCUAAAGGGUACUAAAGUAAAUAUUUGAUAAACCUAGGUGGGGUAUCUGUAGUUUUUUAUAUAUAAUUUAACGAAGUACUAAUGGAGGAGCUGACGAAAAGAUAAAAAUAAAACUACAGGGUACUAACUUGAUACACUUUAAAUUACAGGGUACUAAAGUGAGAAAGUGCGAAACUACAGAGGUGGUAUUUAAAAUUUACCCUUAUUUAUUAUUAUGAUACAAUAUAUAGACAUUAAUUUUAAUCAGAUAAUAUAUAUAAUCUGAAGGGUUGUAUAUAUUUAUCAACACAUUAAUAAUAAGUAUAGAAUUAUUAAUAAUUACAAAAUUAUCCAUCUAAAACAUUUCUUAAAAUAUAA